rnacentral:rRNA from 1 species
ACUUAUGGCCGUACCAUACUGAAUGCACCUGACUUCAUCUAAACCCAGAAGCUAAGGAGUUCUGGGUCCAGCUAUUGCUU